ensembl:lncRNA
UGGGCCUCAGACUCACGCCUGACCUGAUUCAUGAGCCUGAUACAGUGGGCUGCACGAGGCAACCUAGGCUAGUCCAAACCUGAGGCCAGUAAGUGUGAAGGUCAGUGGUGUAUUGAUUUUCUAAAACCAGGCAAAUCUUGCCUGUGGUGUCUUUUAAAGCUCAACAAAAGGCAAAACAUACAAAGGAAACGAUUGAACAGAAGGGGAGACAUCAGGUUGGCUGAACAUUUUCUAGUGUUCUGCUUUGGCUUCCUGCAGUGUGAAACGAAAGGUUUGGAUUAAAUGGUCUCCAGGUCUGUUGGGGGCAUCCGUUUCUAUGAUUUGACUUCAUGUCCUGGGCUGCAGCAUCGUCUUACGGAGGCGAACACUGAGUGUUCCCUGAUGCCGGUGUAGCACCAUUCCCACACGGUAACGGCCUGCUCUGCUUUCGUAACCCCCUUGGAGAGAGGUGUCACCUCCCUGUCCUCUUUCCUCCAGGAAUUCUGUUAUGUGCCAGACCUCAGGAGGUCAUUUUCAAAAUCCACAUCUCAGAAAAAACAUAGGCCUUUGGUGACCACAGUGUUGAGGGAGCCUGGCAGAGGCUUUGCCAGGAGCCACACUGUUGAUCCUGGCAGAGUUUCUGCCCUGAUGUGGACAGGGCCUGGGAGACCAGCCUCCCUGGCUCCCACUCCCUGACCCUGCUCCCCUGCUGGGCAGUAAGGCCUGGGUUUCUGAGACUCCCAGUGGGAGCCAGGCAGCUUGCCUCAGGCCAGGGGUUUGUGGCCUGUGCCCACGGCCUCCAAAGCCAGCCUUAAUGUGCUCAGCUGAGCUUGUGCCCACAGACCCACGGCUGGAAGAUGACUCAGGGCCAGCUGCAAUCAGACCCUGGGCCAGACUGGUCUUAUGAAAACUGGAAUAUUGCAGAUCACACCUAAAGCGUAUGUCAUAUAAAAUGAAUGUAGUGGGAGGACAUGAAGAAUUAACUGGGGUUCCCCACCUCUUUCCACUGCUAUGUCUUGCCAGUUGGACUGAGACCAGAGCCUGGCAUUGUCCCUCAGGCUGGAGAGGAGUGUCAAGAGGGAACUGAAGAACAAAGACAGCAGAUUCUGAGCUUUUAAUUUCAAAGACUUGGAUUCAGAGUGCAGCCUUGGGAAGAAGCUCCACGUCCGGUGUGUAUCUUUGAGGCCAAUAGACCUGAGGGAAACUCAUGGAGGCUCCAUCAGGCUCAGCCUCACCCCUCAAAGGGGUGUGGGAGAACACCCAAAGGUUUCAGUGGCCCACUGAGUAGGGCACGGAAGAGAGCAGACAGAGAGAGCCUACAACCCCUGGGAGCCAUGGCUGUCAGGUAGGGAGGGCACAGAGUAAGCUGCGUGGACCUGAAAGAUGGAGACCAGAAGUCCUUGGACAUGUCAGGAAAUGCCCAUGGGGCUGUGUGGAGAGCUGGCGGCAGCCAAGGGCCAUGAUGGGAGGACUGUGGGCAUCAUGGGAAUCAGGUGGACUGUUCUCCUCUGCAUGCCACACCCUCAGGUACACCCCUCAGCUCUUCUCUCUCUCAGUCCAGGGUUUUGGCCGUGAGUCUGUGUGGGUAAUCUUGUAUUUGUAUGUGUGUCAUCUUGUAUUUUGUUUGCUUACAAUUUUUUGAAAAUUAUACUUUAGCAUCCUUAGAGUCCCUCUCUAGACCUAAUAACUCACUUGGCAUAAAUAAGCAAACAAACUAAGCUGGCUCUAUCUAGCCCCGCUUAUUAGAAUGUGUGUGUGGGUACUUGUUGCCCUUCGUACUUGGUUGCAAUUCCAAGAGAGGAAACAUCUCACUUAAUAUCCUAUGUCAAGUAGGUAUUAUUUUUACCAUUUUACACAUGAAUAAAGUGUGGUUCAGAGAAGUAAAGUACAUUGCCCAAGCCCGCACAGCUAAUGGUAGCAGAGAUGGGAUUUGCACUCUGCAAGUUUCCCAAGACUCUGCUUUUCCGUCACAUCACACAAACUCCCUACUACUAGCCUAAGUCAAACAUCAAGUUGUAUAUGGAGAAAUAAUUCAACAUUGAAUAACCUUUCAGCACACACAUACAAACACAGAGAAAAGAAAAGAAAGAGUAGAAAGGAAAAUCUGCACUCAAUUCCAAACAAAACAAAACAAACUCAAACCCCAUAAAAUAAUAACUGCUUCCUUCCAUGCUUUAUCCACAGGCACCCCAAAUACAACAUGUCCCACACUGAGCUCAUGUCCUUUCUCCCACCCCAAUCUGCUCUUCCUCCUGUGUUUCUGAACUUGGUUGGUGGCAAUACCACCCAAACCAUGUCCCCUCAAAUUAGAAACCAAGUUGUCAUUUUUUACUUCUUUCUCUCUAACCCUCCUCUCCUUUAGUGCCAAACUAUUAGCCC